ensembl:misc_RNA 7SK 7SK RNA
GGGUGAUCUGGUUGCAACAUGUAACCUGAUUGAUCACCAAGGUUGAUUUGCCUGAUCUGGCUGGCUAGGUGGGUGUGCCCUUCCUCCCUUGCGUGUCCCUCCCAAAGCUGCACAUUCGGUGGAAGAAGACCAUCCCCAGUAGAGGAGGACUAUUUCCUUGGUCAAAGGUGUAUGAAGUGUUUCAUUCCCCUGCUAAUACAUCCAAACAAGCUCUUAAGGAAUGGAAUACUAACAUUGCUGUACCAUGGAUGAACCUCGAAAAUGUUAUGCUCCAUAAAAGAAGCCAGUCUCAAAAGGUGACAUGCUGUUU